GGUUGUGACUCAGCGGUAGACCAUUCGGCUACCAUGUGCGAGGUCCUGAGUUCAAUCCUCAGCACCA
rnacentral:tRNA from 1 species